GCCGGGUGUGAUGGCUCACGCCUGUAAUCCCAGCACUUGGGAGGCUGAGACGGGUGGAACACCUGAGGUCAGGAGUUUGAGACCAGCCUGGCCAACAUGGUGAAACCCCAUCUCUA
rnacentral:SRP_RNA from 1 species